GAAAAAAAAAGUGGGAUGCUUUCGUCUUCUGGAAGCAGCAGCGAUCCUUGUUAGUUGCAACCUGUGCCACAGCGCUACAGCCAUGACAGUAGGCGUCUUUGUGUUACCAUGGCGAUGACGUCUUCCGUUUUCCGGUGAGGCGACAGGGCGUCCCAUUCCUGACGAUCGUAUUUAUACCCUCCCCCUUCAAUAAUAGGUGCCCUCCACAGCUGUGAGUGUGACUUCUUUUGGAGUGACACUCGGUAGUGGAGGGGGAGUGUGUAGGGGGGGUUUGGGAUUCAGCCAAUAAUCUAAUGGAAUAUAUCCAGCUCUUUCCAUGUGCAGCGCCAUCUUGGCUUCUAUGUUGACAAAGAUGCAGCCACCUUAUUGGUGGAGCACGCUCACGUCCCGCACUGUGCAACCUCUUCCUGGCAAAAUAUUAUUCUGCUCAGAGAAAAGUAGUCCGUGAUAAAACCAGGCGUAAACUAACCGUGACGUCACCCGUUGGUUUCAGCACCGAGAAAAUGAAGCCCGGAUUUUGCUACUUCCUGGUCGCCGUUUUGGAUUUUUUGGAGCCAGUGACGUAAAAAGCGUCAUCAAACAGACUGGACCGGAGAGCAACUAGGGGCAGGAUUGGCUGAGGACUCUCUUAUCCCGCCCACAUUUUACCGCAGAGGCUUCUGUUGCUGUGUAUCAAGUAUAGCCACGCCCCCUGGCUCCGCCAACUUUAACGAUUUAUUUAAAAUUCAGUAUUGAUUUAUUUUAAGAUCGGCCACCUGAUCUCUCAUUUUGACCAUGAAAACUAACGGGAAAAAAAUCCUGAGCUGUAGAACAUCAGUCUAUCAAAUUUUAUUUUUUCCAAAAAUGAAUUGGGGUCUAUGGAGAAAAAGCUUUUUGGAGCCAACCCUAGCGGACGGCGUGAUAUUGCAAGUUUUUGACACUUCCGGGUUGGCUUCAAUUCUGGAGCCAGAUGCUACGUCCAUCUUUAUAUACAGUCUAUGGAUAAAACUUAUCGCCUUUGCCACGAUAUCAACGACAAAAAUAACUGGUAGCUCUGUAAGGCCCCCGCUUUGUUAAGCUGCUGUUUUUAUGUAGACUGAUGUCAGGGAAUGUUUGACUUUGCAUCCAAUCAUAAAUGGAAGCCAUUGUGUGUAAAGCUUUGAGGUAAAGGUUAAUGAGCUGUUCAUUCUUUUUUCAUGGUUUCUGCAGAGUCGUCUAGCUUUUUGUUUUUGUUGUUCCUUUUUCUUCAACUUUUCUCUACAAAUGUUCAUUAUUUAUGUUAACAUGUGCUGUCCUUGCUUUGUCCAAAGUCCUGAUGAUUAAGAGGAUCACCUACAGGCCAGAUUUGUAAAGCAGUUUUAUUUUUGGAGGCCAAGAGCAACCCAACUCUGCAGAUUUGUUUGAACAACCGGAAACAUCAGGAGAUCUUUCAAAAUCAUGGCAGCCUUCACCAGUUCAUUGACUCAGAUAUCCUGCAAUUCACCAUCCAGUCCAAAAACUAUUUUGACCCCCCCCCCCCCCCCCCCCUCUGCAUUCCUCUACACCGGGUAUAAUUUAUAUGUUUAUUAUAUUCAAAUUAUUCCCCUGGUUAUUAGAUCAUUUAAUGCCGUUUAAUGGCCAAAAAUAACAUUGUUCUCCACUAAGUAUUAAACCUGUGUUGGUGAAACAAUGAUUAGCAGCAGGAGAGGACAAAACACCUAAAUGCAAUGCUGAAUAGAAUCAUUUUUGUAUGUGUCUCUCUCCUAGCAGAGCUCCUAACACCCCAGUAGUAUCCUGGAGGGCCUGUGAUAGACGGAGCAGUCCUGUGAUGACCCCAAAGGACCCCACAGGAGACUCCUAGACCUCAGACUGGAGGUCCCCCCACCACCACCCCCGUGGUUCCCAAGGACAAACUUAACACCCCCCAAGACAACAUGGUUGCUAUGUCCACAUGCAGAGUACGGUGCAGUUGUGACUGUGAUCAUGCAACUAUGACCUCUGACCUCCGUGAAGGCCAGAAGCGGGCCCGAGAGCCCACAAGACCCAGGCGAGCCGGCAGUGAUCCCAGAGCAGAGAUCUGAGCCACCAAACCACGAGGACGACCACGGACCGGCCCGGAAGGGGGCAGAGGGAGAACCCGGCCAGGACCUCCAGCGCCCAGCAGGGCCGGGCCCCAGGCGACCAAGAUCGGCGGCCGCCGACCUUGGGGGAUGCACAGGACCCCGGGCCCCAGGCAGCCAACAGGCAACCCCCGCCCCCCCAGGCAGAGGGUCAACAUCGCCAGGGGAACCAGCCACCCCAGACGGCCACCCGGCAUGGGCCGGCGCCCCCGCCACAGCAAAGGAUCCAGGGCACCCCACCCCCC